UGGGCAACCUGCCCUCAGCUCUGGGGUAACUCCAAGAAAUUGGGGCUAAUACCGGAUAUGACCGCUGACCGCAUGGUCUGGUGGUGGAAAGAUUUAUCGGCUGGGGAUGGGCCCGCGGCCUAUCAGCUUAUUGGUGGGGUAGUGGCCUACCAAGGCGGCGACGGGUAGCCGGCCUGAGAGGGUGACCGGCCACACUGGGACUGAGACACGGCCCAGACUCCUACGGGAG
rnacentral:rRNA from 1 species